GCACCAAUAGCUCAGUUGGGAGAGCGUCAGACUGAAGUGAUUCGGUCAUUAAUCUGAAGGUCACCCGUUCAAUCCGGGUUUGGUGCA
rnacentral:tRNA from 1 species